rnacentral:rRNA from 1 species
UACGUAGGGUGCAAGCGUUAAUCGGAAUUAUUGGGCGUAAAGGGUGCGUAGGCGGUUUGUUAAGACGGAUGUGAAAUCCCUGGGCUCAACCUGGGAACUGCAUACGUGACUGGCAGACUAGAGUAUGGCAGAGGGAGGUGGAAUUCCACGUGUAGCAGUGAAAUGCGUAGAUAUCGUAAGGAAGACCAGUGGCGAAGGCGGAUCUCUGGACAGUUACUGACACUGAGGCACGAAGGCCAGGGGAGCAAACGGG